GAAAAAAAGUGGAGGGAGUGUGCAUUCAAGGAAAAAAACCAUUGUUUUUGAUUUUUUUUUAUCCUAAAUUGAAUUGGGGAAAAAGACAAGAGAAUCGGACGAAGAAAAACAUUUUUUGGGUUUCUGAAUUCCAAGAUAUGCUGAAGUGUGUGAUAAGGUUCUUUCGAUGCUUCUUCUUCAGAUCGUUUACCUAAGCCAUGGGUUGCUUCUUUGCUUGCUUCAAGAUCAAUUAUCAUCGUCAUUCAAAAUCUAUUUCAAUAUUCUGUUUGAAUAUUAAUUCAUCUUGUUUUUAUGAUUAUGACUGCUUUUGUGAGAACAGAAAGAGAGAAGUGAAUCUCAAGGAGCUCAAGGUUCCCAAAAUUUAACUUAAGAGGGGUACCUCUUCUUAUACAGAGCUCGGCCCUUCCUAUUUUCUCAUCAAAUUUUGUAUUCAAAGUGAACUUGAAAAAUGAAAAUGUCAAUUCUUCUUGGAGUAGCUCGAAUGAACCAACUCUUUGUUGGUCAGAAAAAUUUGAAGCUUGUGCUUUUGCUUCUGCCUGUUGUCUCUGUGCCCUGAAUGCUAUUCCCAAAAUCCUUUCAUUUUGAAGAACCAAUAUGAAGUUAGGCACAGGGUUAAAUCCUAUACACCACUUCAAAGCACAUAUGAGAGUUUGCAAGUGGAGUCAUCAUGGUCAUGAGGAAUUUGAGUUCAGUGAAGUCUUUGUACAUCAACUCAUACAUACCAUAGAAUUUGUACUGGGAGCAGUCUCUAAUACAGAUUUACCUCCUUCUAUGGGCCCUUAGCCAAUAACAUUGGCACUUGUAUAAGCUGGAACUACGCUCAAGAAUUUAUUAGAUAUGUGACUCGUGAUUGGGGCUUCAAAGACUCAUUUGGUACAAGAUAUGCUAAUCUUAGAGAAUUAUGGCUCUCAAGUCUAAUUGUUUGGUACGAGAUAUGCUAAUCUUUGAGAACUAUUGUCAGUCACAUAGGUUUGAUCACUAGACAUCAUGAGAUUACAUAGCUCAGCAGUGGUGAAGAACAGGAGGAAACAAUGAACUAAAAGGGAGAGCUCAUCAUGGUAGCUAUGGAUUUGAUUGGAGAGUAUCAGAAAAAUGUAACUGCUUCUUUGCUAACCAUAAAAAAGAGAUUGUAACUUUCUGAGAUUCCUUUUUUUUUUCUUGAGCAAUUGAAUAGGAAAAAAGAAAAAUGUGUCUAUAUUUUUUUCUCCAUUAUCCUUCUAUUACAAUGCAUCUUGUCCCUUGUUUA